rnacentral:rRNA from 1 species
GAUGAACGCUGGCGGCGUGCUUAACACAUGCAAGUCGAACGAGAACGGAUUAUAGCUUGCUAUAAUUGUCAGCUAAGUGGCGCACGGGUGAGUAAUGUAUAGGUAAUAUGCCUCUUACUAAGGGAUAACAAAUGGAAACGUUUGCUAAUACCUUAUACUCCUUAUUAACAGAAGUUAAUAAGGGAAAGAUUUAUUGGUAAGAGAUUAGCCUGUAUUGUAUCAGUUAGUUGGUGGGGUAAUGGCUUACCAAGACUAUGACACAUAACUGGUUUGAGAGGAUGAGCAGUCACACUGGAACUGAGACACGGGCCAGACUCCUACGGGAGGCAGCAGUGGGGAAUAUUGCACAAUGGACGAAAGUCUGAUGCAGCAACGCCGCGUGGAGGAUGACACAUUUCGGUGCGUAAACUCCUUUUAUAUGAGAAGAUAAUGACGGUAUUAUAUGAAUAAGCACCGGCUAACUCCGUGCCAGCAGCCGCCGUAA